CCUACGGGAGGCAGCAGUGGGGAAUAUUGCACAAUGGUCGAAAGCCUGAUGCAGCGACGCCGCGUGAGGGAUGACGGUCUUCGGAUUGUAAACCUCUGUCUUCGGGGAAGAAAAUGACGGUACCCAAAGAGGAAGCUCCGGCUAACUACGUGCCAGCAGCCGCGGUAAUACGUAGGGGGCACGCGUUGUCGGGAAUUAGUGGGUGUAAAGGGAGCGUAGGCGGGAUGGCAAGUAGAAUGUUAAAUACUUCGGCUCAACCGGUGGCUGCGUUGUAACCUGCCGUGCUUGAGUGAAGUAGAGGUAAGCGGAAUUCCUAGUGUAGCGGUGAAAUGCGUAGAUAUUAGGAGGAACACCAGUGGCGAAGGCGGCCUGCUGGGCUUUAACUGACGCUGAGGCUCGAAAGCGUGGGGAGCAAACAGGAUUAGAUACCCGGGUAGUC
rnacentral:rRNA from 1 species